rnacentral:rRNA from 1 species
CCUACGGGCGGCAGCAGUGAGGAAUAUUGGGCAAUGGAGGCAACUCUGACCCAGCCAUGCCGCGUGAGUGAAGAAGGUUUUCGGAUUGUAAAGCUCUUUCGGAUGUGACGAUGGUUACGGUAGCAUCUAAACAAGCACCGGCUAACUUCGGCCCAGCAGCCGCGGUAAUACGAAGGGGGCAAGCGUUGUUCGGAAUUACUGGGAGUAAAGGGAGUGUAGGCGGUUUGGUAAGAUAGGGGUGAAAUCCCAGGGCUGAACUUUGGAAUUGCCAUGGUAACUAUUAGACUAGAGUGUCAGAGAGGAUAGUGGAAUUCCCGGUGUAGAGGUGAAAUCCGUAGAUAUUGGGUAGAACAUCAGUGGCGAAGGCGACUAUCUGGCUGUAAAUUGACGCUGAGGCUCGAAAGCGUGGGGAUCAAACAGGAUUAGAUACCCGAGUAGUC